rnacentral:rRNA from 1 species
UACUCGAGUGGCGAACGGGUGAGUAACACGUGGGUGACCUGCCCUGCACUUCGGGAUAAGCCUGGGAAACUGGGUCUAAUACCGGAUAGGAGCCAUUUUUAGUGUGAUGGUUGGAAAGUUUUUUCGGUGUAGGAUGAGCUCGCGGCCUAUCAGCUUGUUGGUGGGGUAAUGGCCUACCAAGGCGACGACGGGUAGCCGGCCUGAGAGGGUGGACGGCCACAUUGGGACUGAGAUACGGCCCAG